rnacentral:rRNA from 1 species
UAGAGCGGCGGACGGGUGAGUAACACGUGGACAAUCUCGGCCCCCCGGCCCGGGAGUAGCCCAGGGAAACCUGGAUUAAUACCGGAUGAGACGGACCCGCGAAGGCGGGACCGGGAAGGCGCUGCGGCGCCGGCCGGGGGAUGAGUCUGCGUCCCAUUAGCUAGGACGGCGGGGUAACGGGCCCACCCGUGGCGACGAUGGGUAGCCGGCCUGAGAGGGUGGACGGCCACAUUGGAACUGAGACACGGUCCAGACUCCUACGGGAGGCAGCAGCUAAGAAUCCUUCCGCAAUGGGCGAAAGCCUGACGGAGCGACGCCCGCGUGAACGAAGAAGGCCGUGAGGUUGUAAAGUUCUUUCGGGAGGGGGAACAACCGUGGCAGGGAAUGGCCGCGGGAUGACGUGAAUCCCGGAAUAAGCCCCGGCUAACUACGUGCCAGCAGCCGC